rnacentral:lncRNA from 1 species
AGUUGUAACAGCUUCCGUUGAUUAAUUGUUGAUUCCAGUUGUUAUCCAAAUUGAUGGAUGUCACUGCCCUUUUGUGUGGAGGUCCAUGAUAACUGCUCGGGCAGAUUUUGUUUUUUCUAAUUGUCCCUCAUUCCCUCUCUUGCUUUUCCCCAGGCGUUUUAAUUCUCUGUGCUGAAGAAACUACAAAAGCUAACGAAGAGCGUAAUCUAGGCGAAGAAAAUGGGAGGGAGAAGGAAAAUGGAUGCACAUCAAAUUUAAACAUUGUGUCCUUUUCACGUACUGCACGCGUCCUCCAGAGCCUUACCUCUUCUCGCCUCACACCUGGAGAGAGAGAUCCUGCGUAUCACACGUCAGGACUUCCACAAAACUCUUGCCUCUUUCCCCCACUCGACCUCAUCCUUUCUACCCUCUGUCACCACAUUAUCGAUUUGGAUGCUCAACUUUGCUUGGGCCAGUCUAGGGAGGUACAACCUGGCUUUGGCGUAAAUGCAAUCUCGCAAACGGACACCCGUGUAGCUGUCUUACCAACACUCCAGGCAUUGCGGGGUGUGGAUCUGAGCUACAGUCAGGCGUCUUCAGCUCUCCAAAAUCUAAUGAGCCAACUGAAUGAGUUGUGGCCAGGAACGGUGGGCUUGUGGUCCCGCGUGAGGCGUGUUGCCACUUGGUUCACUCGGGAGUUGCUGAAAUUGCUGCUUAAAGAUUGUGAGCUGGGAAGGUUCCCUAGGCAGAGGCAGCGAGUGGCCGUGCUGUCUAAUUUGGCUUGUGCUCAGUUGUUGCAGCCCCUUUUGACCUCUGAAAUCUUGAACUCACUCGAAGGUUUCUCCAAUAUUAUAGAGGUAACUGAUGUGCACACACACCGACACACACACCGACACACACACACACACACACACACACACACACACACUCACACUCUCACCAUUAUCUAUGUUGUAUUCCAACAAGUAUGAUGUAACCUUACCUGUUGCUGUUUUCUCUAAGAUAUUGUUGCCACUGUGCUGUUUUUUACAGGAAACAUUAUUUUAUGAAAACUCGAUCUUCAUCCUGGAACUUCUCUCACAGAAUGGGCUACUGGCUCCACUCGCUGGUUCCUCGUCACGUUUACUCCACUCACCCAUGUUGCAGUCCUCUUGUUAUCCGCUUUAUCACAUCUACACCAGCCAUAUGUUUCGCUAACUCAUUUUGCUUUGCAUUAACCUCAUUCUGCUCUGUGUACACUCCUGUAAGUCUCUCAAAUAUAUCUAUUUUUCAAAAGUACACUAUGCAUUGAUCAUUCUUCUUGACGGGAACGUAUGAAAAUGACAAACCGUUUUACAAUUACACCAUGUACAAUGGUACCGUUUUUAUUGACUAUCACACCACACACACACACACACACACACACACACACACACACACACACACACACACACACACACACACACACACACACAC